UUGAAUUGAAUUUGUACUAUUGUAGAUGAGAGCUGUUUCACAAAUGGCUAUCUGGACACCGUAAUAGAUUGGAUCCCAGGAAUGAGAGAUAUCCGUUUAAGGGAUCUCCCGACCUUCUUUCGUACCACAAAUCCGGAUGACAUCAUGUUUAACUUCAUCAUGGAAGAAACCGAUAGAGCUCAUGAAGCUUCAGCAAUCAUUAUUCAUACUUUUGAUGCCUUGGAGCCAGAUGUUUUGGAUGCUCUCUCAUCUAUGCUUCCCCAUGUAUACACCGUUGGCCCUCUUCAAUUGCAUCUCAAUCAGAUACCAGAACACCCUUUGAAAAUGGGAUACAGUCUAUGGAAAGAAGAAACUGAAUGCCUCGAGUGGCUAAACACCAAGGCACCAAACUCAGUUGUCUAUGUGAAUUUCGGAAGUAUAGCGGUCGUGAAGCCAGAACAGCUUGUGGAGUUUGGGUGGGCACUUGCAAAUAGCAAGCUUCCAUUCUUUUGGGUAAUUAGACCUGAUCUUGUUAUUGGAGAAUCGGCUAUUUUGCCGCCAGAGUUUGUGGCUGAAACAAAGGAAAGAGGUCUAAUAGCUGGGUGGUGCCCACAAGAGCAAGUCCUUAACCACCCAUCAGUUGGAGGAUUUUUAACGCACAGCGGUUGGAAUUCAACAGUUGAGAGCAUUACUGCAGGAGUUCCUAUGCUCUGUUGGCCAUUCUUCGGAGACCAGCAAAUGGACUGUCGCUAUACUUGCAAUGAAUGGGGCAUUGGCAUGGAGAUUAGUAAUGAUGUGAAGAGGGAUGAGGUAGAGAAACUUGUCAAAGAGUUGAUGGAAGGUGAGAAGGGUAAGAAGAUGAAAAAUAAGGUCAUGAAGUGGAAGAAACUUGCAGAAGAUGCUACUGGUCCACAUGGUUCUUCAUUCACAAACUUAGACAAUUUAGUGAAUCAAAUGCUAUUGAGAUAAAGAUGUUUCCAUAAGAAUAUUGAUGUUAGUUAUCAUUUCCGUAAGAAUAUUUAGACAAUCUGUAACCUGUUACUAUAUGUAGAAUUUUAUUCUGAUUAAGGUUUCACUAUGCUUCAAGCCUUCAACUCUGAAGUCUCAUCAUUCGUCAGGUAAUUGUGCACUAACCCUGAUGCAUUAAAUCAAUAGAUUAAAGAAAAGAGAAAAUCCAACUUUGUUUCCUCGUCUUUCCUUAUUCCUUAAUAUGUUUGACUGCUGAGCUUCUUUUUUUGACAUUCUUCUUUGACCUCCUAUUUUGGCUGCGCUCAAUGCAUCAAUGCUUAUCUGCAAUUCUGCAUGUAAGGAUUGAAAAGAAAAAGAAAAAAAGAAAAAAAAGAAAAAGAGCAGUGGAAGUGGAAGAAGCAGCAAUUAAAAAAAAAAAGAAGAGAUAUUAAAUUUCUAUAAACAAAUCCAAAAAAUGAAAGCUGGCCCUAUUGAAUUUAAUUUUGAUUAUUAAAUUACUUUGAUGCCCUAUUGAGUGUUUUGGGCUUUUUUAUGAGGUUUUGGGGUUGGAUUUGUUUUAAGAAAUCAAUGACAGUUUUGUAAUUUAAAAGAAGUUAAAAGACUUUUUGUUAUAUUGUAAAUGGGUUUUUGGUGUGUUUCUAAAGUCCAUUACAUAUAGGGUUUUUUUUUAAUUUAUAAUUUGGGCUCCUAUAUUAGGUAUAAUAGUGAAUCUUCCAUUAAAAAAUUACUUCAGUUCGUCGAGUGUUCUCCCAAACUGGGGUUGUAAGAGCACUUCCAGCAGUGCAGGCAACACUCAGGCUCGGUGGGGUUUGGCCCAAAAAGUGGAGCGCGAGCCUGAGGGCUGGGUGAUGUCAUCGCAACGUUAAAAAAAAUUGCACUCUCGCGCUGCAGUAGCCGCCAAUGGCUAGCUUCCAUGUGUCGGCGUCUAGGCUCUCCGAUCUGAUUUUUUUCCUCCAAUCUAACGGCAGCCAAUUUUUGUGCAAUAAAAAAAAGAAAAAAAUGAAUACGAAAAAAUUAUUGAUUUAUUUUUUUUCUAAAUACCAACCAAUACUCUUCACUUUUAACACCAAAAUUUUAUCCGAUUAUGAGAAAUGAAUAGUAUUGACAUGUAGGAACCUAAAAAUCUUACCCGAAAAUAUUAUCCAAAUUAAUUGUUUAGGUAAAAAAAGUUGUGAAAAAAAUAAAAAAAUGAAUAUUAUUUGCCAUGGCAAAGUGCAACUGCUGGAAACACACAUUGCUUUUUGCAAGGGCAGCUACUAUUCAUGUGAAUAGUAGCUGCCCUAACCCCUCCUCGCCAUAAGAAAGGGCAAAUUGCUAGAAGUGCUCUAAGGAGAGCGCAAAUGACCUGGGAAAAAAAGGUGGCUUUUAUUUUGUGUAUGGAAAUUGAGUUUGAUUCUAAGUGUGCCAUCUGUUUAGCGUUCGGCAUGUGUUGAGCAACAUUAAUUUGAUAAUGGUGGUAUGGCUAACCUGGGCCUUACCAUUGAAUUUUUUUUUUUUGGGUUCAAAAGUAAGGUCUUUGGUUUUUUUGUUUUUUUGUUUUUUUGUUUUUUUUGUUUUUUUGUUUUUUGUUUUUUGUGUUUGGACAGAAUUAGAAGGUCCUUACUAUUGAUUUGGCUCCUAGGAAACUUGUCAUCCCCAAUCUUUUUUAUUUUAUUUUUAAUAUAAGUGAUAAUCUACACUACGAAGGGGAGGGAGUUUCUCAACACAUACACUACCAAAGUGUCAUGGGGAUUUGAACUUGAAAUCAUUGGUCUGCAUAUCAAAACCCUUUUCAAUUGUGCUAGAUCUCGUUGGCCACACCAGUCUAUUCUUAAUUUGCUUAUUGAGGAUUGUGUUAGGUUUUGUAAUUAGAAGCAAAUUAUGGUUCACUAGUAUUCGAUGUGAAAACAAGGGCAAAUCUACAUGCCACUCCAGUCCAAUUCUGAAUUUUUAGAAUAUACAAACUUAGGCAGUUGUCCAAGCCCAAACUAGGUAAAUCAAAUAUUAGUCCACCCCUCUAUUUAAAAUAAGGCCAUCUCUGCAUAAAUUCAACCAUUGGAUUGACUAGAAUACAUGUGAUGCAACUUUGGAGCCCGUUUGAUGCAAUUUUAUAAUAAGGAUAAAUACUUUUUUUAUAUGAUAAAUAUUGUUGAUAUGUGGUCAUGUUGGCCUCACCACCUCCUAAAAUAAGGCCCCAAGUGCCUCCAUAAAGGUAAAUAUAAUAGAUUGUUUAUUAUAAAGGUGAAUGAUAAUUUCCUUUUGGACUAACGGCAUUUCACUCUAUUGAGGUUUAGGGUUUGUAUGGAAAUGGGCCCCGAGGUUUUAAUUUCAUUGAUUCCAAAUCUUGUCUUAACAUCCUCAAUACUUAAUAUAUUUCAUCUAAAGCCAAGCAAGAAAGGAGCUGAUACUUUUAAAGCACCACUAGCCUCAACUUCAUGUCAACUGAUGCUUCAACUGCAAGAUCAAAUGGAUGAAGCAUAAUGAAGAAAGGGAUCAUUAAGGUAUAGGGUUGUUAAAUUAGCAUUUUGUGAUGGAUUAGAUGGUUUUUGUUGUUGGUUAAUUGGUCCUAGGGUCUGACUGCAAGAGUGCCUAUGAUCUGCUGGCCAUUCUUUGAUGACCAGAGAACCAAUUGUUAUUAUACUUGCAAUGAAUUGGGCAGGGGCAUUGAGAUUGAUAACAAUGUCAAGAGAGAUGAAGUGGAGAUGCUUGUUAGAGAGUUGAUGGAGAGAGAGAGAAGGGUAAGAAAUUGAAAAGGUAGGCUGAGUGGAAGAAAUUAGCAGAAAAUGCAACUGAUCCACAUGGCCAGAGACAGAUCCAGGAUUUGAAAAUGGCAUGGGCUAAAUUCGUGAGCUAAUUUUUUUUUUUUGGGGGUAAAUUAUAAAUCCUUGUUUAUUACCAAAAUAAUAAUAAUAAUAAUAAGCCCUCUUUUUUUUCUUCAUCAUAUUUAGAACUUUUUUAUUAUUAUACUGACAUUUGAAACAGACAAAAAAUCUUGGAAUUAUUGAUAAGAUUGUUGAAAUAUUUGGCAUGGCCUAAAUAUUUGAAAUAUGUGUCCUGUAUUUGUAUAAAAGUUGUGGCUUUAGUCUAGUAAUAGCCACAAUUUACCAUGUCGUGGCUAGGAGAACUGUGGCUUAUCACGGGGAGAGAAUUUGAAUUUUAGAAACAUGAAAAUAAUUGAAACACAAGAAUAAGAUAAACACUACCGAAGACUUCAAAUCAAUAAAAAAGAUUCACUUUGACUUCAAAUAAAGAAAAAAGAUUCACUUUGCUACUUAAUCUAAGUCUUUGUCUUUUUGUCUUGAUUGAUCAAUUGACUUUUCUUUGCACAGUUACUUGUGUGUCCAAAAUUUGACUAACUUGUAGAUUAGUUAUUUAUGUUGCAGGUAAAGUGAAGAUCCAUUUUGCUACUUCGUCUCAUUAUCUCAAUUUGUCUGGCAGCUAGACUUCUUUUUUGGACAUUAUCCUCAGUUUCCUAUUUUGACUAGUUCCCCAAUAAUUGGGGAAAGGCCAAGAAAAGAUAAUGAAACAAAAUUAUUCUUUAUAGGGGAAAAGCUAAUAGAAGAUACCAGUUCCCCUUCGCUUCUUCUCACCUCAAUUUGUCUGACAACUUUCUUCUCUCUGUGGAUAUCUUAUCUGCAUAGACUUACUUGUGUGGAGGGGAAAAAACAGAGAGCCAAAACAGGACACAUUGAAAAGUAGCUCAGUUUUGCUUUAUAAAUAAUCUGCUUUUGCAAGCACUGCAAUGCACACACAAAAGCUAAGAUGGAUUCAAAAGAAGUAGCUACUAAGCCACAUGCUGUUUGCAUUCCAGUUCCUGCUCAAAGUCAUAUCAAGGCAAUGCUUAAAUUUGCAAAGCUCCUCCACCACGGAGGUUUUCAUAUAACCUUUGUUAACACAGAGUUCAAUCACAAGCGUUUUCUUAAUUCUCUAGGACCCAAUUCCCUUAAUGGCUUGCCUGAUUUUCAAUUUGAAGCCAUCCCGGAUAGCCUUCCGGAUUCAGAUGAAGAUGCCUCACAAGAUGUCACCUUGCUUUGUGAAUCCAUCAGAAAACAAAAUUUCUUGGCUCCCUUUCUUGCCCUCCUUGCAAAACUCAACAAUGAUGCCAUAUCAACAUCCAGCAAUCCUCCUGUGACUUGCAUAGUUUCAGAUGGUUUCAUGUCCACGUUCACAAUCACAGCUGCUGAAGAAAUCGGAGUCCCUAUAGUGCUGUUCUACACUAUAGCUGCCUGCAGCUUCAUGGGAUUUAAACAAAUUCGUGCUUUGGUCGAAAAAGGACUUGCACCACUCAAAGGUGAUAUAUAUAACCUUUUGAAGCAAUUGUUGUUUAGCUUGUGGUUAACUCUUAAUUUCUUGUUUCUUAACAUGCAAAUAAAAUUUUUCUUCAAUUGAAUUGAAUUUGUACUAUUGUAGAUGAGAGCUGUUUCACAAAUGGCUAUUUGGAUACCGUAAUAGAUUGGAUCCCAGGAAUGAGAGAUAUCCGUUUAAGGGAUCUCCCGACCUUCUUUCGUACUACAAAUCCGGAUGACAUCAUGUUUAACUUCAUCAUGGAAGAAACCGAUAGAGCUCAUGAAGCUUCAGCAAUCAUUAUUCAUACUUUUGAUGCCUUGGAGCCAGAUGUGUUGGAUGCUCUCUCAUCUAUGCUUCCC
rnacentral:lncRNA from 1 species